GCCAUGUCCGCCUUCUGCCUGGGCUUGGCCGGCCGAGCUUCAGCACCCGCCGAGCCGGACAGCGCCUGCUGCAUGGAGCUGCCCGCUGAGGCCGGGGACGCAGUCGGGAGUCCCGCCGCCGCUGCCGCCGCCGCCCUCGUCUCCUUCCCCGGGGGCUCCGGGGAACUGGAACUGGCCUUAGAGGAGGAGCUGGCGUUGCUGGCGGCCGGGGAGCGGCCGUCCGACCUCGGGGAGCAUCCUCAGGUGGAGCCGGGGUCUCCGGCUGAGGAGCACGGACUGCCGCCGCCUACCCAGGAUCCGGAGCUGCUGUCGGUGAUCCGACAGAAGGAGAAGGAUCUGGUGUUGGCAGCCCGGCUAGGCAAGGCGCUGCUCGAGAGGAACCAGGACAUGAGCCGACAGUACGAGCAGAUGCACAAGGAGCUGACGGACAAGCUGGAGCACUUAGAACAAGAGAAGCACGAACUGAGAAGACGAUUCGAGAAUCGGGAAGGGGAGUGGGAAGGGCGUGUGUCAGAGCUGGAGACCGAUGUGAAGCAGCUGCAGGAGGAGCUGGAGAGGCAGCAGGUCCAUCUGCGGGAGGCAGAUCGAGAGAAGACGCGAGCCGUGCAGGAACUGUCAGAGCAGAACCAGAGGCUGCUGGAUCAGCUCAGCAAGGCCUCUGAAGUUGAGAGACAGCUCUCUAUGCAGGUCCACGCACUCAGAGAAGACUUCCGGGAGAAAAACUCAUCCACCAGCCAGCACAUCAUCCGGCUGGAGAGCCUUCAGGCCGAGAUCAAGAUGCUGUCGGAUCGGAAACGGGAGCUGGAGCAUCGGCUCAGCGCCACCUUCGAGGAGAACGGCCUGCUGCAGGGGACCGUGGAGGAGCUCCAGGACCGGGUGCUGGUCCUCGAGAGACAGGGCCACCACAAAGACCUGCAGCUGCACCAAAGCCAGCUGGAGCUCCAGGAGGUACGCCUGUCCUACCGGCAGCUGCAGCUCAAAGUGGAAGAGCUCACAGAAGAGAGGAGCCUGCAGAGCUCCGCUGCCACGAGCACGUCCUUGCUGUCUGAGAUCGAGCAGAGCAUGGAGGCCGAGGAGCUGGAGCAGGAGAGAGAGCAGCUGAGACUGCAGCUGUGGGAGGCCUACUGCCAGGUUCGCUAUCUCUGCUCACACCUUCGAGGGAACGACAGCGCAGACUCAGCCGUGUCCACAGAUUCCUCCAUGGAUGAGUCCUCAGAAACCUCAUCUGCCAAGGACGUGCCCGCUGGCAGCCUGCGCACUGCCCUCAGUGAUCUCAAGAGGCUGAUCCAGAGCAUUGUGGAUGGCAUGGAGCCCACGGCCGCGCGGAGAAUGGAUGAUGAGUCCUUAGAAGAACAAAUAAGGCAGACCAGUGAGGACUCAAGAGCCCUGAGGGAGCUCAUGGAGGGAGAGAGGGGUAAACUGAGGCAGAGCCUAGAAGAGCUGCAGCAACUGCACAGUCAGGUGACGCUGCUGAGUGUGGAGAUGACUGCACUGAAGGAAGAGAGGGACCGACUCAGAGUGACGUCUGAGGACAAGGAGCCCAAGGAGCAGCUUCAGAAGGCCAUCAGGGACCGGGAUGAGGCCAUCGCAAAGAAGAACGCUGUAGAGCUGGAACUCGCCAAGUGCAAGAUGGACAUGAUGUCUCUUAACAGCCAGCUACUGGAUGCCAUUCAGCAGAAACUGAGCCUCUCACAGCAGCUUGAGGCUUGGCAGUUUGCUUCCUCAGGGCUUUUUACUAUCUGGCUCCUCUGGUUUCUGAUCUAGUGGCCUUUCUCAGUUCCUGUACCCACAGCUUUAGUUGUACACCCCUCCUGCCUUUGAGGAUGACAUGCACAGGGUCAUUGACAGGCAGCUGAUGGACACGCACCUGAAGGAACAGAGCCGGCCUGCUGCUGCCUUCUCUAGGGGCCACGGCGUAGGGCAGGGGCAGGAGCCCAGCACCAUGGAUGGCAAACG